GGGCCUAACACAUGCAAGUCGAGCGGUAGAGAGGAGCUUGCUCCUCUUGAGAGCGGCGGACGGGUGAGUAAUGCCUAGGAAUCUGCCUGGUAGUGGGGGAUAACGUUCGGAAACGGACGCUAAUACCGCAUACGUCCUACGGGAGAAAGCAGGGGACCUUCGGGCCUUGCGCUAUCAGAUGAGCCUAGGUCGGAUUAGCUAGUUGGUGAGGUAAUGGCUCACCAAGGCGACGAUCCGUAACUGGUCUGAGAGGAUGAUCAGUCACACUGGAACUGAGACACGGUCCAGACUCCUACGGGAGGCAGCAGUGGGGAAUAUUGGACAAUGGGCGAAAGCCUGAUCCAGCCAUGCCGCGUGUGUGAAGAAGGUCUUCGGAUUGUAAAGCACUUUAAGUUGGGAGGAAGGGCAGUAAAUUAAUACUUUGCUGUUUUGACGUUACCGACAGAAUAAGCACCGGCUAACUCUGUGCCAGCAGCCGCGGUAAUACAGAGGGUGCAAGCGUUAAUCGGAAUUACUGGGCGUAAAGCGCGCGUAGGUGGUUUGUUAAGUUGGAUGUGAAAUCCCCGGGCUCAACCUGGGAACUGCAUUCAAAACUGACUGACUAGAGUAUGGUAGAGGGUGGUGGAAUUUCCUGUGUAGCGGUGAAAUGCGUAGAUAUAGGAAGGAACACCAGUGGCGAAGGCGACCACCUGCACUAAUA
rnacentral:rRNA from 1 species